rnacentral:rRNA from 1 species
CUUGGUCAUUUAGAGGAAGUAAAAGUCGUAACAAGGUAACCGUAGGUGAACCUGCGGUUGGAUCAUUAGUGAGUAAGGGCCUUUUUGAAGGCCUGCUGGAUUUUAUCCAGUCAACAAGUGUGAACUGGUGCGGACGUUGGUGGGCCGGGGUAGUUCUUGGCCCGCCAAACAGCUUAAACUUUUAAACUUGACUGAAUCAGAGACAAUGAGAAACAACUUUUGACAACGGAUCUCUUGGCUCUCGCAACGAUGAAGAACGCAGCGAAAUGCGAUACGUAAUGUGAAUUGCAGAACCGUGAAUCAUCUAAUCUUUGAACGCAUAUUGCGCCUUUUGGUAUCCCGGAAGGCAUGCCUGUUUGAGAAUCGACAAACUUAUCACCCUCUUUGAUGAGAGUGGGGUUGGGCAGUCAAGCCAGAUUGUUGCCCUGAAUUUAUCCAUGGCGGACCAGAGUGGAUGCCAACGAAAGUGCUUACUUGCCAGUCUUCUCAGGCUGUCAUUUCUCGCUAGUACUUGGCCUCACCAACACUCUAUGCCCCAUCAAAAACAACCGCUCUCCCAGAGUGAGGUUGGCCUUGUCUUUGUGACUUUUGGUCUCAAAUCAAGCAAGAGUACCCGCUGAACUUAAGCAUAUCAAUAAGCGGAGGA